UGGGGAAUUUUGGACAAUGGGGGAAACCCUGAUCCAGCCAUCCCGCGUGUGCGAUGAAGGCCUUCGGGUUGUAAAGCACUUUUGGCAGGAAAGAAACGUCAUGGGUUAAUACCCCGUGAAACUGACGGUACCUGCAGAAUAAGCACCGGCUAACUACGUGUCAGCAGCCGCGGUAAUACGUAGGGUGCAAGCGUUAAUCGGAAUUACUGGGCGUAAAGCGUGCGCAGUCGGUUCGGAAAGAAAGAUGUGAAAUCCCAGAGCUCAACUUUGGAACUGCAUUUUUAACUACCGGGCUAGAGUGUGUCAGAGGGAGGUGGAAUUCCGCGUGUAGCAGUGAAAUGCGUAGAUAUGCGGAGGAACACCGAUGGCGAAGGCAGCCUCCUGGGAUAACACUGACGCUCAUGCACGAAAGCGUGGGGAGCAAACAGG
rnacentral:rRNA from 1 species